rnacentral:rRNA from 1 species
UGCUCCUUGGGUGGCGAGUGGCGGACGGGUGAGGAAUACAUCGGAAUCUGCCUAUUUGUGGGGGAUAACGUAGGGAAACUUACGCUAAUACCGCAUACGACCUACGGGUGAAAGCCGGGGACCUUCGGGCCUGGCGCAGAUAGAUGAGCCGAUGUCGGAUUAGCUAGUUGGCGGGGUAAAGGCCCACCAAGGCGACGAUCCGUAGCUGGUCUGAGAGGAUGAUCAGCCACACUGGAACUGAGACACGGUCCAGACUCCUACGGGAGGCAGCAGUGGGGAAUAUUGGACAAUGGGCGCAAGCCUGAUCCAGCCAUGCCGCGUGGGUGAAGAAGGCCUUCGGGUUGUAAAGCCCUUUUGUUGGGAAAGAAAAGCAGUCGGUUAAUACCCGAUUGUUCUGACGGUACCCAAAGAAUAAGCACCGGCUAACUUCGUGCCAGCAGCCGCGGUAAUACGAAGGGUGCAAGCGUUACUCGGAAUUACUGGGCGUAAAGCGUGCGUAGGUGGUUUGUUAAGUCUGAUGUGAAAGCCCUGGGCUCAACCUGGGAAUUGCAUUGGAUACUGGCAGGCUAGAGUGCGGUAGAGGGUAGUGGAAUUCCCGG